UACGGGGGGGCAAGCGUUGUUCGGAAUUCCUGGGCGUAAAGGGUUCGUAGGUGGCCGACUAAGUCAGACGUGAAAUCCCUCAGCUCAACUGGGGAACUGCGUCUGAUACUGGUUGGCUUGAGUGCAGGAGAGGAACGCGGAAUUCCAGGUGUAGCGGUGAAAUGCGUAGAUAUCUGGAGGAACACCGGUGGCGAAGGCGGCGUUCUGGACUGCAACUGACACUGAGGAACGAAAGCCAGGGGAGCAAACGGG
rnacentral:rRNA from 1 species